CAGACAAAACAGUGAAAUACAAAAAGGGUGAAAAGCCAGAUGACUUUUAUUUGGAUGAGUAGAAAGCUGCUAUUCCAAAGAUUGCCUUUAUUCUCUGAAGGAUAGAGAAAACCAUUUAUGUCGUUUCGUUUUUGGUUAUUGAUAUAUUUCUAUUAAAUGGAUCUUUCUCGAUAAUACUAGUAAUAUUGGCUAAGAUAUUCAAUAAAAACAUUUUAUUUCUCUAAA